rnacentral:tRNA from 1 species
GCCCUAGUAGCAUAGCGGUAUUGUGUUGCACACACAACACAAGGCAAUUGUGUUGCCUUGGUAAGGCAAAGGUCGGGGGUUCAAAUCCCCCCUGGGGCU